rnacentral:tRNA from 1 species
GUUUCUGUGGUGUAGUGGUUAUCACAUCCGCUUUACACGCGGAAGGUUCCCAGUUCGAUCCCGGGCGGAAACA